rnacentral:rRNA from 1 species
UACGGGGGGGGCAAGCGUUGUUCGGAAUUACUGGGCGUAAAGGGCGCGUAGGCGGCCAGCACAAGUCAGUUGUGAAAUCUCCGAGCUUAACUCGGAAAGGUCAACUGAUACUGUGCGGCUAGAGUGCAGAAGGGGCAACUGGAAUUCUCGGUGUAGCGGUGAAAUGCGUAGAUAUCGAGAGGAACACCUGCGGCGAAGGCGGGUUGCUGGGCUGACACUGACGCUGAGGCGCGAAAGCUAGGGGAGCGAACGGG